rnacentral:lncRNA from 1 species
AGCUAGCCUUUAGAUUUGUCUGUUAACAGUAGAAAUGCUAUAAUAAAUCGGUAACAUAUGUUGCCAGGCAGGGAAAAGUGGUAGACAAGAGCCUGGGAGACCAAGCCAAAUUGCUUUCUUACCCAAAUUAUCUCCGUGAUUGCCUGUCCUGAGGCUUUGGGCCAAUGCAAACUACGGAAUGGCAAGUCUUACAAUCUUGUCUGUCCUUGUCUGGCAUCCAUCCUCCUUCCAGAGUGAACAGAGGUAUAUCCAUAAGCACCGGACACUGAUUUCACAGCCUCAUCCAAAGCCAGGCAAUUCUUGAGGCAAACAAACAAAGGGGUGUGAGUGAUUUCAUUUAUUUUGAUAAUCCUCUGUCUGCACAGGGGCACUUUGCUGUCUUUGUCAAAGUGAAUGACAACAAUUUGGCCAACUCUCUCUGAGCUGCACUCAACAGUGACAGGCAAAUUAUCAGAGGCCCUGCACUUCUUAUUAUCAGAGGAGAAGCCAUCAGGGGGACGCAGGGAGGAUGCCUCUCCCUUGUCACUAUUUGUCAGUGGGACAAGGGCCA